AACGAACGCUGGCGGCAGGCUUAACACAUGCAAGUCGAACGCGUGUAGCAAUACACGAGUGGCGCACGGGUGAGUAACGCGUGGGAACAUCCCUUUCAGUUCGGAAUAACCUCGGGAAACUGUGGCUAAUACCGGAUAUUCUCUUCGGAGGAAAGAUUUAUCGCUGAAAGAUUGGCCCGCGUCAGAUUAGCUAGUUGGUGGGGUAAUGGCCUACCAAGGCUCCGAUCUGUAGCUGGUCUGAGAGGACGACCAGCCACACUGGAACUGAGA
rnacentral:rRNA from 1 species